rnacentral:lncRNA from 1 species
GCCCCAAAAGUCGCAGCAAAAGUCCGGAGUGGAAAGGCUUUACGAUCGUCUUCUCUGUACACCCGAAAAUUAGAUUUAAAAGAGGACAAAGGUGAAGACAAAAAGCCACCGUCAGAGAAAUUAAAUGCUUGAGAAAACUGCCAGCUGUGUGGUCCCAUCAAUCGUGAUCAUUUGUGACAAUAGCACCGAGCUGACGUCAUCAACCUUAAAUGUUGGGACAUGUGAAGGCAUGAAAAUGCACAUUUCCAGAUCCAAGGUACAACUUUCAGAGUACUCCUUUCAUCUGAUUCUCAGACUCAGGAGUAAGGGAUAGUAUUAUGGUGGUAUC